AGCAGCCGCGGUAAUUCCAGCUCCAAUAGCGUAUAUUAAAGUUGUUGCAGUUAAAAAGCUCGUAGUUGAAUUUCGGGGUUAGUAGGUUGGUCAUGCCACUGGUAUGUACUGAUCUUACUGAUUCCUCCUUCCUGAUGAACCGUAAUGCCAUUAAUUUGGUGUUGCGGGGAGACUGGACUGUUACUUUGAAAAAAUUAGAGUGUUUAAAGCAGGCUAACGCUUGAAUACAUUAGCAUGGAAUAAUGAAAUAGGACGUUCGAUCCUAUUUUGUUGGUUUCUAGGAUUGACGUAAUGAUUAAUAGGGAUAGUUGGGGGCAUUAGUAUUCAAUUGUCAGAGGUGAAAUUCUUGGAUUUAUUGAAGACUAACUACUGCGAAAGCAUUUGCCAAGGAUGUUUUCAUUAAUCAAGAACGAAAGUUAGGGGAUCGAAGACGAUCAGAUACCGUCGUAGUCUUAACCAUAAACUAUGCCGACUAGGGAUCGGAUGAUGUUAAUUUUUAAUGACUCAUUCGGCGCCUUAA
rnacentral:rRNA from 1 species